GAUGAACGCUGACAGAAUGCUUAACACAUGCAAGUCUACUUGAACUUCGGUUUGGGUGGCGGACGGGUGAGUAACGCGUACAGAACUUGCCUCACAGAUAGGGACAACAUUUGGAAACGAAUGCUAAUACCUGAUAUUAUGAUUUUAGGGCAUCCUAGAAUUAUGAAAGCUAUAUGCACUGUGAGAGAGCUUUGCGUCCCAUUAGCUAGUUGGAGAGGUAACGGCUCACCAAGGCGAUGAUGGGUAGCCGGCCUGAGAGGGUGAUCGGCCACAAGGGGACGGAGACACGGCCCUUACGCAUACGGGAGGCAGCAGUGGGGAAUAUUGGACAAUGGACCAAGAGUCUGAUCCAGCAAUUCUGUGUGCACGAUGAAGUUUUUCGGAAUGUAAAGUGCUUUCAGUUGGGAAGAAAAAAAUGACGGUACCAACAGAAGAAGUGACGGCUAAAUACGUG
rnacentral:rRNA from 1 species